CGGGUGAGUAACGCGUGGGUAACCUGCCUCAUACAGGGGGAUAACAGUUAGAAAUGACUGCUAAUACCGCAUAAGCGCACGAGAUCGCAUGAUAAAGUGUGAAAAACUCCGGUGGUAUGAGAUGGACCCGCGUCUGAUUAGCUGGUUGGCGGGGUAACGGCCCACCAAGGCGACGAUCAGUAGCCGACCUGAGAGGGUGACCGGCCACAUUGGGACUGAGACACGGCCCAAACUCCUACGGAAGGCAGCAG
rnacentral:rRNA from 1 species